rnacentral:rRNA from 1 species
CCUACGGGAGGCAGCAGUAGGGAAUCUUCCGCAAUGGACGAAAGUCUGACGGAGCAACGCCGCGUGAGCGAUGAAGGCCUUCGGGUCGUAAAGCUCUGUUGUCAGGGAAGAACAAGUACCGGAGUAACUGCCGGUACCUUGACGGUACCUGACCAGAAAGCCACGGCUAACUACGUGCCAGCAGCCGCGGUAAUACGUAGGACCCGAGCGUUGUCCGGAAUUACUGGGUGUAAAGGGCGUGUAGGUGGGUCGCUAAGUCGGUGGUGAAAUCCUGCAGCUUAACUGCAGAACUGCCUCCGAUACUGGCGGUCUUGAGUGCGGCAGAGGGAGAUGGAAUUCAUGGUGUAGCGGUGAAAUGUGUAGAUAUCAUGAAGAACACCGGUUGCGAAGGCGAUCUCCUGGUCCGCUACUGACACUGAGGCGCGAAAGCGUGGGUAGCAAACAGGAUUAGAUACCCUGGUAGUCCACGCCCUAAACGAUGGGCACUAGGUGUGGGAGGUAUCGACCCCUUCCGUGCCGCAGCUAACGCAUUAAGUGCCCCGCCUGGGGAGUACGGCCGCAAGGUUGAAACUCAAAGGAAUUGACGG